ensembl:lncRNA
AAGAGACCCUGCAGCUAGCAGCAAGCACGUUUCUGCAGACCAAGAAUACACCAAAACAGAAAUCAGGCAUGUUCAAUAAAUGGGAGUGACUAACAGAGUAGUGAGGCCAGAUGGAACGCGUCCAGGAGAGUAGAGGAAAGGGCAUAUGAGAGGAGACAUUUAAACAGCUUCCUGUGAAGUCUCUCUGCAAACAGUGGGGGUGUUGAUACAUGAGAGAGAUGCUGAACUCCAACAGGUGAAACAGGCUGCCAGCAAAGGGAGCUUCCUGUGGCAGGUGACAGAUAAAGAAGAUCCACAGGCCUUAAGGAUGAACCUGGAUUAUCCAGCUGCUUGGGGUGCUCCCUUGCCAUGUCCUGGCCCCAGCUUUGCCCCUUGUGAAUAUUCUUUUAUUCUUUUGGAGAGCAAAGAUCUGUGUUCUGCUUAUUUGGAGCCACAAUCUUUCCUUCAGAGCAUCACAUGAUGGGAAAAAAGUCAGCUGCAGAAAUUAAAGAAAUAAACAGUUGCUGAGGAAAACACACCUGGAGAGGCAGAGAAUGAUUCCAUAGCUGUGGCACUCCCUGGGGGCAUUGCUUCAGUAAAUGGGUGGAUUUCAGGCAGACCAACUUUUCUCCCAACACUGUUUGUGUAAGAAGCCAUUCCUCAUUAUGAGAGGUCGGAUGAGGG